CCUACGGGCGACAGCAGUGGGGAAUAUUGCACAAUGGGGGAAACCCUGAUGCAGCGACGCCGCGUGAGUGAAGAAGUAUUUCGGUAUGUAAAGCUCUAUCAGCAGGGAAGAAAAUGACGGUACCUGACUAAGAAGCCCCGGCUAACUACGUGCCAGCAGCCGCGGUAAUACGUAGGGGGCAAGCGUUAUCCGGAUUUACUGGGUGUAAAGGGAGCGUAGACGGCAGCGCAAGUCUGGAGUGAAAUGCCGGGGCUUAACCCCGGAACUGCUUUGGAAACUGUGCAGCUAGAGUGCAGGAGAGGUAAGUGGAAUUCCUGGUGUAGCGGUGAAAUGCGUAGAUAUUAGGAGGAACACCAGUGGCGAAGGCGGCUUACUGGACUGUAACUGACGUUGAGGCUCGAAAGCGUGGGGAGCAAACAGGAUUAGAUACCCUAGUAGUC
rnacentral:rRNA from 1 species